rnacentral:rRNA from 1 species
AUCUCAACAUGUGGNUGGUUGGUUUAANGAUCUAACACUGGCCGNUCGUUUUACAGCCUAACACAUGCAAGUCGAACGGCAGCACAGGAGAGCUUGCUCUCUGGGUGGCGAGUGGCGGACGGGUGAGGAAUACAUCGGAAUCUACUCUGUCGUGGGGGAUAACGUAGGAAACUUACGCUAAUACCGCAUACGACCUACGGGUGAAAGCAGGGGAUCUUCGGACCUUGCGCGAUUGAAUGAGUCCGAUAGUAC